rnacentral:lncRNA from 1 species
GCCCCGCCCUCAGCGCUCCGGCUGCGGGGCUGCGGGGCACGGCCGAGCGGCGCUUUGGUGCCCGGGCGCGUUCGGUCGGGUUAUCCCCGACUGCCGAACAACCAGCGCUCUCCGGCUUUCCGGGCGGAUCCGGCCGUUCUCCAGGGUUUUUCUAUCCAGGUGUUUGCGUCGGCUGUUUGCAGGCCUGGGAUGAAUCGAUGGCACCGGGGAAAGGCACAGCCUGUCCUUCCCAUCCGGCUGCGGUCGCGGUUCCCUGCGGGCUGGCCCUGCAGCGGCAGGACCACUUUGUACUCGGUUUUAGAAGGGGAAAAAUUAACAUGAUUUUUGUUUCUUCUCAUCACUCGCAUACUAGUGGUUGAACUGCCCUUCCCAAAAUUUUAACACACACCUCGUAUAUUUCUUUUGCUCUCCCGUUACUGGUUUUGCUGUUUCCGGACCGUGCUGGGACACAGCAGUGCUGCGGGAGCGCACACAGCCCCAGCGCUUUGGGACAGCUCCUGCUCAAAACGUUGCCAGAAGUGGUGUUAGAUGCCAAACACCGUAUUGACCCAUCUUCACUGACGAUUUACCAAAAUUUAAAUGGGCUCCUUUGGCAACAAAACCAAAAGAAGGAAGAAUCUCCUGUAAUGUUAAUUAAUCUUUAGCCUACUGGUGUCUGAUGAACACAUGGGAAAGAACAGCUGGUCUCAGUGCAAGAUACAUGGGCUUAGUGAUGAGGAAAAGGUGUCAGAGAAGAUGAAUUUCCAGGACUGGAAAAUAGGACAGCAAAGAAUGGAUUUGGAGCAUGAAAAGAUGGAGGAUUAUGGCCAGACAUUGGAGAGAGGAAUCCAUGACAGACCCAGAUGUAAUUUAAGAAAAUACUUACUACCUGCCCAGCAUAGGUUUAACUGGAAUUGUAGUGAUGAAAGCAGAAGAGGGAAAAAUGCAGUCUUUUACAACCCAUGUCACUGUAUCUCACUUACAUCCAGAGAUAGAAGAUCUAAUUGGUGA